CAGCACACCAAACAGGACUGCAGCCAGAAGAAUCUGUGACACUGCCAAAGGUAAACACUGAAGAUUACUUAUUUCAGAAACUGAAGCAGAUGAAUCCACUUUGGUCAUAAAAGGGCAAAGGUUAAAAAGGACUUGGUAACCCAGAAAGUAAAGCGUGUCCAUCACAAGAGUAGGACAACAGUUUUCAGAGAACAGGCCAUAUUACAGAGCAACCCUUCAUCCUUUGAAAUCCACAUACAUUCCCGUCCAGGUGACUAGGAAAGGCGUGUCAGGGAGUAUGAAGGCUGUGAUUGGAAAAUUGUGGUAGCAACACCUCCUGAGACCAGCAUCUGAUUUAAAAAUAAAGAAAAAAAUCAUUUGAGCAUAAUGAUGGCUAAUACUGCUAACCCACUGGGGGUGGACCUCAACUUGAUGCAUCUCACUGGACCCAGGUGACUGGCAGAGCAAGCUCAAGCAGAUCUUCCAAACACAUCUGUAUGUUCAAAGGCAUGUAUUAAGUGAUGAUUAGCAAGGCACAUAUCAAUCUGGAAGCUCCCUUUAGGAAUACACUGCUACCACGGCUGCUGAUGGGAAUGACCAUUCAAAAAAAUGUCCUCCAAGAACUACAGGCUACAGCAAUAAAUCUAUCUUAUCCUCAGUUCUGCUGCAAAGGAGGCUGAUUAUCACCCUCUACAACUGCCUGAAAGGAGGGUGUAACCAGGUGGGGGUUGGCCUUUUUUCCCCAGGCAAUCAGUGAAUGAUGAGAGGACAUAGCCUCAAGCUGUGCUUGGGGAGGUUCAGGUUGAGCAUCAGGAGAAAUUUUAUCACUGAAGGGUGGUUAAGCAUUGGAACAAACUUCCCAAGGAGAUGGUAGAGUCACCAUCCCUGCAAGUGUUCCAGAAACAAAUAGAUAUGGUACUUGGUGCCAUAGCCUAGUUGAAAAGGUGAUGUUCAGUCAGAGAUUCCACUUGAAGAUCUUGGAAGUCUUUUCCAAACUAGAUGAUGCCAAUCUAAAUUAUUCUGUGACUCUAUGAAAUGGUGUUUGGGAGAAUAACUUAGUCUAAGGAGGUAAAAGACUAAGAGACUGGUUUGACAACAAGGAAAGCAAAUCUGGAAACAUGGGGGCUGUAUUAGUGAGCUCUGUAGCAGCAGGGAAUGUUCCCAAGCAUUCAACUUUGGUCAUCUCAUAUAAAUUAUAGAAAUAUAGUCAGGAGGUGCACCAUACCUUCAUGACAUUGUCUUGCAAGGUCUCCUAAUUAAGAGGAACAAAACUUUUACUUCAAGACCUGAUUCCUGCAAGGAAGAGCAGUCUUUGCAUCUUUAGUCUACUGAUGUUUGCUUUCCCACUCUAGCACAGAAAGUUCUACAAAUUUUUUUUAUUAGUCAAAGCAAUAAGGACUCAUUAAAGUAUGCUUUAGUUGAAGCCCUCUCCAAGUUGAAAAGGUGUAGGCAUUUCUGACAAUUUUGUUUGUCCCCACCCUACACGCCUCUACUUGCUAGUUGCUGCUAAGUCUGAACCACUGUGUGUUAUGUGUUUCUUAGAUACAUGUCCAUUCCAGAAGCAAAUUCUCUCAACAGGAGUCUGAGGCACUUAAUCCAGAGUAAAAUCUCUCAAAGGGCAUAAGCACACAGGCUGAUUUGUCACACAGAAAUGCCUUGUGAAUUCUGGGAUUUCAGCCAAGGACACAGCAGAUUUCUCCUUGUCAGCAGAGACCAACUGCAGUAAAGGCUUAACACUUUCUUGGAAUAAGCUAUCUCCUUUGGAGCAAUUGGAAUGAACUAUUGUAUACUGAUCAAUUGUCCUGUGGGAAUAUACUAGUGCCCUUAACCAAGCAGCCAACAGUGGUGUGAUGAGCAACCCUGGGGGGGAUCCUGGACACUAGUAAGAGCUGGGGGCAGUGCUCUUAAACUGAGCACUUCUAGGGCAGCUCUUAAAACAGGAAUUCCUCUGGACAUGGUAGAAAGGACGAAAUAGCAUCUGCUGCUACAACUGCCGUCAGCAGUGAACAAACCUUUAACUGGUCUUUUGUUCUAUCAUGAAAAUGGGACUUCUUUGAAACUCAGAAGCUUCACACAUUUCUGAGAGCUGAGUGCUCUGACAAGAUGCAUGACGGAAAGAUGCACAAAUCAAUCUGCAAGAGGCAAUGGAGACAAAAAGGCAGGAAGGACUCAUUACAAGGAAGAAAUGGAUGAAAACCAGGGGAUCUGAGACUCAUUUGCUCAAAUACUCCAUGUUACUUCAGUGGUCAAACAUAAGAAGAAAGCAAGAUGAUUUGGAGGAAUGUCAAAGUAGCAAAAAAAGUUCAGGUAUUAGCUUUCCUGCAGGUAUCUUCCAAAGCUAGCUGAAUAGAUAGGUCACAAAUACUGUUUAUCAGGGAUUUAACAAUCUGAGCUUACUUCUAACAAGCCUUUAGGGUAUUUUUGCAAGAAAGAACUGCAAAAAAUUCAGGGGAGCCUCUGGAUACAUAAACCUGAAAACUGAUCUUUGUUUGAAACCCUAAACUGUGGGGAGUGUGACUACCUGCCCAUCCUCAGAUGGCUCUCACAGAUCAUCCAUGCGCUGCAACAUCCCCAGUGUGAAGGCCUCCAGUGAUGUGGGUAAGAGUCAGUGGCGACCUCUGUGCAGGUAUGUUCAGAGUCGUGGACAUGCUGUCACACAGGCAUUAGCUCAGGUCUUUUUGAAGGGCAGGACCACUGCCCCUCUUUUCCAUUUCAUACAAGAAGUAACAUAAUACUUACGCCUUUAGGGGAAAAAAAUGCACAAUGGGUCCAAAACACUUUUCAGUAGGCAAAACAUCAUCAUGAAGGUUCAAUUAGGCUUGCAGAAGUCUUAUGAGAAUUUCUGACCCUGAUCAGCACAGGAAAAUCAUUCCCUGCCCUCUGGCUGCCCAUGAAAACCAGCACACCAAACCCAGGACAAGCUUGUGCUAUCACUUGCAGUCACAGCAUUGAAACAGCAAUGUCUUCCUUCCCAAAUACAGAUAACUGACAACUAGAAAAAGUUUGCCCCUUAUUCUUAAACACAUAGAUGUGAAAAAAAGAAAAAUCCAGAUGUUGCCAUUUUGGUGAAGAAAAGCAUUUUCUGCCUCUCCCAAGAUGAUCCUAUGCAAGAAAGUCCCAUUUCUGUCUUCUGGGAGAAAAGCAUCAUCUGAUUCUCUCAGUAACAAAAUUAUUUCUGUGCAAUCUAUGGUCUGAUUUGAGGCUCUGCCUCAGAAAAUUCUGAAAUCACUGAUCUGGAACGAUGUGGUCAAGCCCUUCAUUUUUAAAACUGCUCCAUCUCUGCAUUUGUUCAAAUAGCAACCUUAUAUGACACAGAAGAAGGCUGAGUUCAUCUAUUUAAAUAUUGCUGAACUGAAAAAAAAAUUCAGGUUUGUAACAUGCAUCCAUGAAACUAACAGCAUCUGUAUUAGGAAACUGGCUUGAGAGAAGUUUUGGCAUCUUUCCCAGUGUGAGGAGGAAGAAAGGGAACCAGGUUGAAUACGUGACCCCGCCCGCAAACCAAUCAAGAAGUUGCAAACAUGAAACAUCCUAGAACUUGGGAGACAAAAGUUAAUUAUAAUAGGGGGAGAUUUCUCAGUUUGAUCUAGAAAAAGGUGAACUUCAGCACAGAUGUCUUUAUAACUACCCUGAUCUCAGCAUCACAGUUUGAUUUGGCAGCAUCUCUUUCUCACCAUCACUAUCUGAAUUACCUGUUUUGUUUUGGCUGAAAGGAGAUAAUUUAUCAGUGUAGUCCAGAUAAACAAAAAAAGAAUACACCAUGUCCCUGUAAACUUCUCUGGUUAGAGAAGUAUAUCACUGGCUAGUUAAAAAACCAAGUGAUUCUCCUGAAAACUACACUGUUCUGCUGAGAGGAGGAUUUUGCACUCAAAUGCAGCCAUUUGGCUUUAGCAAUGUUGUAAGCAGUGCUUUGGGAGUUCAUAUAUUAAUUCUAGAUCACCUAUUUCAAGAUGGUGAUUUUUUUAUUCCUAUUACUUUCAACAGUAAACAGACACAGUAUUACAAACAAAGGAAAACAAUAAUGACCACCAUGACAUUUCCAUGCAGACAUAAUGCAAAUAAAACAUAUUUAGCUCUGGCACCUUUGUAAUCAAAUGGAUUUCUCAUUUUCGGCUUAAAGCUGACAAUGUAGUAUUAUAGACAAUGAAGGGAUGUUAGGAGGCCAGGCUCUUUGUCCCUAUGGCUGGAUCUCCUCUUCCUAACCCAUUCCAGACAGAAGAACCAGUUCACAAAAACCUCUAAUGAAAGCACUUCUGUACUUUAUCCAGGCAAACCUGUGCCUUAGUUUAAUAGAAAACCUUUCAAAGGUUGAUGUCAAAUUUCCCUUGUUUCAAAUUUAAGGCCAUCCACAACAGACAUGAAGAACAGUUCACACCUUCAGGGUUUGCAGUGUGAAGCAGAAGUGUAGUUUCAGGAUCCCACAUUCACCAGUUCAGUGUAAAUUCCAGGUCAGAUCUCUUUAUUUUACAGAUUAUGGUAUGUGAUUCACUUUUAACUUUGUGGAGAACUUGAACCAGGCACUACUGCAGAAGAAGAACUGUAAUGCAAUUCUCUCUUCAGAGCUGUGCUCAUGCUUUCCUGUUCAAAAAGGAUAAAGGAACACUCCUACUGAAAGUCUCUGGAGAACAUCUGCUGAUUAAGGUGUCACUUCCAUGAUUACAAAGUUGAAGUCAAUAGUAGCCUUUUCUUUGUGUGGGCUUUGGAUCAGACAUAUAAUUCUACUGGAAACGUACUGCAAACUGCAAACACCUAGCUCACAACUAGUACGAUAAGGAUUGGAUAGCUGUCCUUCCCCAUCUUAUGUUACACUAUUACCCUUUCCUGCCUAUGGACUUACUCAUUGCCACUAAUCCACUAAAUAAUGUACUUCCAGAGCAGCUCUUAAACCUUCGCUUAGCUAAUGAGCGUCUUAGACCCUCAAAGGAUUUCUGUCUGUAGGAAAGGCAUUCCUUCAAAAUGCCAGCACUGCAGGAGAGCUUAUACUGGGGUUUGGAGUCCUAUCUUCACCUUUGCCUUACCUCCCUUUUCUUACCCUGCCAAGUGCAUCAGGGAAGAAAAGACAUAAUCUUUGGAGGGGAGACAGGAUUUUUUUUGGUCCCACCAGAACAAAACUGACCAUGUUUCCUUCCCAUUCAGCUUUCUCUGCAGUAGAGCAAGAGAUAUAUGUGCCUCCUCCCUCAAACGCAGGCAGCCCCAGGGCUUCUUGGGGUUAUUACUUUACACCAACCACACAUAUCUAUAAAAACGAAGAGAAACAUCUUCACACUUCCUCUUCCAGCCAGUACUCUCAGCUCUAAAGGUACUGACUAUGUCCAGAAUGAGCUUUGUUUUUCAUCAUGGAAAUGAAUUGUAACAUCAGUCCUAACUACGUGUCAGUCUCAGAUUGGAGUCAACAAUUGGCAUCUUUGAGCUUUCUCCUGUAUGUAUAUAUAUAUAUAUAUAUAUAUAUAUAAUAUCCACCCAAAGCCUUAUUUAAGAAAGAGUCGGAAUUAUCACCCUUCCAGCCUGCUUGGAAUUUUCCCCCAAACAAAGGACUCGGACUAGACUAUGUAAAUGCCAAAGCAGUUACCACCUAUACAGCAGCAAGAUCUCAUAAAUCACCUUGACUGAGGUUCACAGGAGCAGAGCCAGUUGCCACCUGGAGGCUGCCCAAGUGUAUUAGACACGGUAUAGUUUCUUGGCAAGAGCUGGAGGAAAAUUCUGACAUUGAGAAAGUCACAUAAUGGAUUCUGCUGGUUCUAAAGUACCUGUGACAGUGUCUGGCAAACAGCUUUGGUGUGACAUGUAAGAUUCAUGCAGCGUGUUCCAGGUCCAAGACACAGUCUGUGAAAAUGUCUCCCACCAAGACUUUUAAUGCUCAUCAGAGAUGGCACUUCUUGCUGAGUCCCAUUAAAAGCAUAUCUUCUUUACUACUCUGACACCACCUAACACAUUUCUAAGUGGGACAGAAUCCCACUUGGAACCAGCCGCCUUUGUGGGGCUGCACACCCUAACAAGAAAUUUGUUUGCAGAUCAUGAACUUAAAACAAUGAAGAUCAAAAGCCACUGGGCCUGCAAGACCUAUGGCAGUUGCUAGAAGUUCUAGCACAAGAGGUGUAGGAGCAUCCAUUCCAGACAUUGUUCCCAAGAAGGUGAGGUUUCAGGUAUACAUGGAGGGAAAUACCCCUGUAUAGCUGAAAUAUAUAUAAGACGUCAUUUUCCUAUUUUAUACCAAAAUCCACUGCUCUGCAAGUGGCAAAAUCAAAAGUAGACACUUCUGCCCUUUCCCAGCAUAACCAGACCACAUAAAACCUAAGCACAGAGAAAUGUCAGUUUAACACAAUCAGAAACUGAAGUUUUUUCUUGUCUGCAGCAUUUACCUAGUUAACAAGUGUUAGCCUGUCAAAAGCAACUAAAGUUUGGAGGGAGUGAUAUCAGACUUUGUCCAUUUAUCAUCUUUCACAUUAGGCUGUUGUCAAGUUAUCCAUACUUAAUCAGGAGACAAACCAAGACAAUAAACCAACAGCAGGAAAUUCAAUCCAAGAAGUGUGUUUCUAUUCAGCAGUUCUGACACAAUGAACAGAAAGAUAAAGGGAGACGUCAACUUCUGUUUUAUUUAUGCAACCACAGAACAACAGAGGAUUUAAUUUCUCUCUUUUCAGGCUGUAGUUUCCUACUAAAUGAAAUGUCCUCUUUCCUUACAAAUGCAGUUGGUUCCUAUCAUUAGCAACUCCCCUUGCUAGAGAAACAGAUCAGCUGUAUUGCCAGGUCAUUCAUUAGCAAAAAAGCAAACUCAUUAUGUACGCUGACUAUCCUCUACAGGUUUUGGAGCCCACACAGACGGUGACAUAGGACAUAUAAACAGAUUACUACACACGUACUACUGUUAAACUUCUAAUUUCUACAACAGAA